CCAUCUGUAGGGAAUGUCGUAGACAGAGGCUCGGAAAGACUUGCAGGUCACGACCCUCGCCCUGCCAUUUCCUGGCUCGCUUUUCCUUGCCAGUGCUACUGACGUAAUAGGCGCUGAUAUGACCUUUGGCUGGGGCCUCUGAGACUUUCCCCGAGCGUUUAUUUCUAUAAGAUGCCGAGCUUCUUGGCUACACAACUGCACUGGUGGCUUUCACUACACUGUUAAUGAUCUGUCAUGGGGUGAAUCACCUUGACCUGGGGUUCUCACAAACCACUUGGUCUUCCAUGGGAAUCUCUGCUUCUACACUACAGAGCGGGAAAGGGGAAACCAGGGUACUUGGAAUGACGCUAUGGCCAAAGAAGGUCAGUCCCUAUCCUGAACACUCCAGCUCAGCCUCACUUCCAAGCAGUUGCACACGGAGUCCCUAUUCAUCCAACGGCUUUCUAUACUGUUUUCCAGAAGUGGGAAACCCUCGGCAUUACGCGUAGUGGGGGCGUUGGGACCUUAAAACUGACGUGAAUCUACGAUUCCCAGUAGCAAGGCAAAACACCAGAGGACGUGAAUAUGAGCCUACCGUCUCGCUCGCUCGGAGACUCAAUGCCCAGGGACUUCAAGCCUGCAAGGACUAGGAAAUGGAAAGCAUCGGCUACAAGUGCCGUCCUCCCCAUUACCCUUCCUCUCCGGUCCCAAGGAGGCGUGUACUAAGUGAAAGGACUCGGCUUAUAGAUCCCACCCAUUUGGCGAGCAAAAUAAAGUCACGACUCCGUUGCGCA